CUGACUUCUAAUGAUAGCAUAUCAGUGUUCCUGUCCUUGCACAUCAAUACUUACACUUUCUCCUAAAGGUAUUGUUUUAUAGAAAGUACUGGAAUUAGUUACCGUGUACAAGAUGUAUUUACGGUAUAUUUUUAACUCCACUAUGUUAUACAUGUAUACGUUUGUCUCUUGUCAUUCAAAGGGCUUCCAAGGAAGAGGUGGACCCAAAGGGGACUUUGGAGACCCUGAUGUGGAGGGGCUGGCUGGUGAGAAAGGUGAAAAGGGUAUGUCUGGAGAAGCUGGCCCUAAAGGACAGCACAGAGUGAGGGGAGACCUUGGACAUAACGGUCCAACUGGAGACUCUGGGAAGCCAGGUGAUCUAGGACCCCCUGGACUGCCUUUUCUCGGGGGUUGAACGGCAUGAGAGGAGUGCCUGGCAGGACGGGUAUUGAGGGUCCACCGGGACAAGAUACAUCUGACCAGCAUAUUAUUGAUGUGGUGCUAAGAAUGUUGCAAGAGAGGCUGGCAGCGGUAGCAGUGAGCGCUAAAAGGGCUGUGCUUGGUGGAGCUGGUGUCAUGGGAACCCCCCGGCCCUCCUGGACCUCUGUGAUCAACGGGUCCACAAGGACCACAUGAUUUGCCUGGUUCUCGAAGAAUUCCUGGGAUGAUAGGAGCUGAUGGACAGAUCGGAAACAAAGGUCUUAAAGGUAGUCGGACACAAUGGGCCUGCCCGGGAUAUCUCGUGGUGUCGGCUCCGCUUGUGUUGCCCUUUGUGGAUCUUGGGGAGCAUAUAGAUUCUGCGGGGUCCGGGGGCCGAUUCGCUCAAGAGAUAAGUCUUUUGUUUUGCAUUAAUGAAUCAUUUUUGUAAUACAUUCUUAAUUAUGUUUUCUAUCAUAGGAAUAGUUUCGGGGUAAAUGGUGAGUAAUAAGUGGUAUUUCUCAAUUGUCUGGUGCUCUCCCAAACAUAUUGAGACCUGUACAUAAUAAUAACCACGCUUCCCUUGUCUGCCGGCUUGAUGACAAUGUGUCUGUUCUUUUUCAGACUGCGGAGGGCCUCAGUUUUGUACCGCGUCAGGUUGGGCGA